UAGUCAGACAGCAUUUUAUAAUCAACAUACCCUCAGCUGAGAAACUGAGUUGAGCAUUAUGAUUUCUGGAGACGCAGAAUGAGACAAAUGUGAACAAGAUCGAUCAGCUCAGCCUUGGAAACAUUACCACAGAGGAGUUUAAACAAUACCACACUAAAAGUUUUUCAAUAAUAGGACUGGGUCAAAGCAAAGUCAUACAGCAACUAUGGAUCCUGAUCCGAGAAAGUCAACCUCUUCUUCUAACCAUCGUGUGAUAAGUGACAUUUCCAUAGGCAAGCAUCCAGACUUCUCUAUGGAUGAAAGGAAUUCUUCAAGGUCUAUGGAACAUGAAAUAAAUGUAAAGUCCCAACAUCCGACUGAUCCAUCUUUAAAGAGCCAUCGGUCCAGGAGUCCACCACCAGAUUUCAGG